rnacentral:rRNA from 1 species
CUUACNCNUGCAGUCGAACGAUGAAGCCCAGCUUGCUGGGUGGAUUAGUGGCGAACGGGUGAGUAACACGUGAGUAACCUGCCCCUGACUUCGGGAUAACUUCGAGAAAUCGUGGCUAAUACCGGAUAUGACACGUGCCUGCAUGGGUGUGUGUGGAAAGAUUUAUCGGUUGGGGAUGGGCUCGCGGCCUAUCAGCUUGUUGGUGGGGUGAUGGCCUACCAAGGCGACGACGGGUAGCCGGCCUGAGAGGGUGACCGGCCACACUGGGACUGAGACACGGCCCAGACUCCUACGGGAGGCAGCAGUGGGGAAUAUUGCACAAUGGGCGAAAGCCUGAUGCAGCGACGCCGCGUGAGGGAUGACGGCCUUCGGGUUGUAAACCUCUUUCAGUAGGGAAGAAGCUCUUCGGGGUGACGGUACCUGCAGAAGAAGCGCCGGCUAACUACGUGCCAGCAGCCGCGGUAAUACGUAGGGCGCAAGCGUUGUCCGGAAUUAUUGGGCGUAAAGAGCUCGUAGGCGGUUUGUCGCGUCUGCUGUGAAAACGCAAGGCUUAACCUUGCGCCUGCAGUGGGUACGGGCAGACUAGAGUGCGGUAGGGGAGACUGGAAUUCCUGGUGUAGCGGUGGAAUGCGCAGAUAUCAGGAGGAACACCGAUGGCGAAGGCAGGUCUCUGGGCCGUUACUGACGCUGAGGAGCGAAAGCAUGGGGAGCGAACAGGAUUAGAUACCCUGGUAGUCCAUGCCGUAAACGUUGGGCACUAGGUGUGGGAUCCAUUCCACGGGUUCCGUGCCGCAGCUAACGCAUUAAGUGCCCCGCCUGGGGAGUACGGCCGCAAGGCUAAAACUCAAAGGAAUUGACGGGGGCCCGCACAAGCGGCGGAGCAUGCGGAUUAAUUCGAUGCAACGCGAAGAACCUUACCAAGGCUUGACAUACACCGGAAAAGUGCAGAGAUGUGCUCCCCGUAAGGUCGGUGUACAGGUGGUGCAUGGUUNGUCGUCAGCUCGUGUCGUGAGAUGUUGGGUUAAGUCCCGCAACGAGCGCAACCCUUGUCCUGUGUUGCCAGCACGUCAUGGUGGGGACUCAUAGGAGACUGCCGGGGUCAACUCGGAGGAAGGUGGGGAUGACGUCAAAUCAUCAUGCCCCUUAUGUCUUGGGCUUCACGCAUGCUACAAUGGCCGGUACAAAGGGCUGCGAUACCGCGAGGUGGAGCGAAUCCCAAAAAGCCGGUCUCAGUUCGGAUUGGGGUCUGCAACUCGACCCCAUGAAGUCGGAGUCGCUAGUAAUCGCAGAUCAGCAACGCUGCGGUGAAUACGUUCUCGGGCCUUGUACACACCGCCCGUCACGUCAUGAAAGUCGGUAACACCCGAAGCCGGUGGCCCAACCCCUUGUG